rnacentral:rRNA from 1 species
GACGAACGCUGGCGGCGUGCUUAACACAUGCAAGUCGAGCGGUAAGGCCCUUUCGGGGGUACACGAGCGGCGAACGGGUGAGUAACACGUGGGUGACCUGCCCUCAGCUCUGGGAUAAGCCUGGGAAACUGGGUCUAAUACCGGAUAUGACUCCAUGACGCAUGUUGUGGGGUGGAAAGCCUUGUGCGGCUGAGGAUGGGCCCGCGGCCUAUCAGCUUGUUGGUGGGGNGAU